rnacentral:rRNA from 1 species
AGUGAACGCUGGCGGUAGGCCUAACACAUGCAAGUCGAACGGCAGCACAGUAAGAGCUUGCUCUUACGGGUGGCGAGUGGCGGACGGGGGAGGAAUCCAUCGGAAUCUACUUUUUCGUGGGGGAUAACGUAGGGAAACUUACGCUAAUACCGCAUACGACCUACGGGUGAAAGCAGGGGAUCUUCGGACCUUGCGCGAUUGAAUGAGCCGAUGUCGGAUUAGCUAGUUGGCGGGGUAAAGGCCCACCAAGGCGACGAUCCGUAGCUGGUCUGAGAGGAUGAUCAGCCACACUGGAACUGAGACACGGUCCAGACUCCUACGGGAGGCAGCAGUGGGGAAUAUUGGACAAUGGGCGCAAGCCUGAUCCAGCCAUACCGCGUGGGUGAAGAAGGCCUUCGGGUUGUAAAGCCCUUUUGUUGGGAAAGAAAAGCAGCAGGUUAAUACCCCGCUGUUCUGACGGUACCCAAAGAAUAAGCACCGGCUAACUUCGUG